CCUACGGGAGGCAGCAGUAAGGAAUAUUGGUCAAUGGACGCAAGUCUGAACCAGCCAUGCCGCGUGCAGGAUGACGGCCCUCUGGGUUGUAAACUGCUUUUAUACGGGAAGAAACCUCUGGUUGCGAUCAGAGCUGACGGUACCGUAAGAAUAAGGACCGGCUAACUUCGUGCCAGCAGCCGCGGUAAUACGAAGGGUCCAAGCGUUAUCCGGAUUUAUUGGGUUUAAAGGGUGCGUAGGCGGCUUAUUAAGUCAGUGGUGAAAGACUUCAGCUUAACUGAAGAACUGCCAUUGAUACUGAUGAGCUUGAAUAUACUUGAGGUGGGCGGAAUGUGUCAUGUAGCGGUGAAAUGCUUAGAUAUGACACAGAACACCGAUUGCGAAGGCAGCUCGCUAAAGUAUGAUUGACGCCGAUGCACGAAAGCGUGGGGAGCAAACAGGAUUAGAUACCCUGGUAGUCCACGCCCUAAACGUUGAUAACUCGAUGUGUGCGAUAUACAGUACGCGUCCAAGCGAAAGCAUUAAGUUAUCCUACCGUGAGUUAGUCGNGAGAGUUAGANANAANAGAGUUAGAGGCGNGAGAGNGCGAGACGACGACGAGGAGUAG
rnacentral:rRNA from 1 species